rnacentral:rRNA from 1 species
AUUGAACGCUGGCGGCAUGCCUUACACAUGCAAGUCGAACGGCAGCACGGGGCAACCUGGUGGCGAGUGGCGAACGGGUGAGUAAUGCAUCGGAACGUGCCAUUGAGUGGGGGAUAACGUAGCGAAAGUUGCGCUAAUACCGCAUAUUCUGUGAGCAGGAAAGCAGGGGACCGCAAGGCCUUGCGCUCUUUGAGCGGCCGAUGUCAGAUUAGCUAGUUGGUGAGGUAACGGCUCACCAAGGCUUCGAUGUCUAGGGGUUCUGAGAGGAUUCACCCCCACACUGGUACUGAGACACGGACCAGACUCCUACGGGAGGCAGCAGUAAGGAAUAUUGGUCAAUGGACGCAAGUCUGAACCAGCCAUGCCGCGUGAAGGAAGACGGCCCUACGGGUUGUAAACUUCUUUGUACAGGAAAAACCACCGGUCGUGCAUCGGUGCUGAUGGUACUGUAAGAAUAAGGAUCGGCUAACUCCGUGCCAGCAGCCGCGGUAAU